rnacentral:rRNA from 1 species
UACGUAGGUGGCAAGCGUUGUCCGGAAUUAUUGGGCGUAAAGAGCGUGUAGGCGGUUUGGUAGGUCCGCUGUGAAAACUCGAGGCUCAACCUCGAGACGCCGGUGGAAACCAUCAGGCUAGAGUCCGGAAGAGGAGAGUGGAAUUCCUGGUGUAGCGGUGAAAUGCGCAGAUAUCAGGAAGACCAGUGGCGAAGGCGGGUCUCUGGACAGUUCCUGACGCUGAGGCACGAAGGCCAGGGGAGCAAACGGG